CGCCGCGUGAGUGAAGAAGGUUUUCGGAUCGUAAAGCUCUGUUGUAAGAGAAGAACGUGUGUGAGAGUGGAAAGUUCACACAGUGACGGUAUCUUACCAGAAAGGGACGGCUAACUACGUGCCAGCAGCCGCGGUAAUACGUAGGUCCCGAGCGUUGUCCGGAUUUAUUGGGCGUAAAGCGAGCGCAGGCGGUUUGAUAAGUCUGAAGUAAAAGGCUGUGGCUUAACCAUAGUACGCUUUGGAAACUGUCAAACUUGAGUGCAGAAGGGGAGAGUGGAAUUCCAUGUGUAGCGGUGAAAUGCGUAGAUAUAUGGAGGAACACCGGUGGCGAAAGCGGCUCUCUGGUCUGUAACUGACGCUGAGGCUCGAAAGCGUGGGGAGCGAACAGGAUUAGAUACCCUGGUAGUCCACGCCGUAAACGAUGAGUGCUAGGUGUUGGGUCCUUUCCGGGACUCAGUGCCGCAGCUAACGCAUUAAGCACUCCGCCUGGGGAGUACGACCGCAAGGUUGAAACUCAAAGGAAUUGACGGGGGCCCGCACAAGCGGUGGAGCAUGUGGUUUAAUUCGAAGCAACGCGAAGAACCUUACCAGGUCUUGACAUCCCAGUGACCGUCCUAGAGAUAGGAUUUUUCUUCGGAACACUGGUGACAGGUGGUGCAUGGUUGUCGUCAGCUCGUGUCGUGAGAUGUUGGGUUAAGUCCCGCAACGAGCGCAACCCCUAUUGUUAGUUGCCAUCAUUUAGUUGGGCACUCUAGCGAGACUGCCGGUAAUAAACCGGAGGAAGGUGGGGAUGACGUCAAAUCAUCAUGCCCCUUAUGACCUGGGCUACACACGUGCUACAAUGGCUGGUACAACGAGUCGCAAGUCGGUGACGGCAAGCUAAUCUCUUAAAGCCAGUCUCAGUUCGGAUUGUAGGCUGCAACUCGCCUACAUGAAGUCGGAAUCGCUAGUAAUCGCGGAUCAGCACGCCGCGGUGAAUACGUUCCCGGGCCUUGUACACACCGCCCGUCACACCACGAGAGUUUGUAACACCCGAAGUCGGUGAGGUAACCUUUUAGGAGCCAGCCGCCUAAGGUGGGAUAGAUGAUUGGGGUGAAGUCGUAACAAGGUAGCCGUAUCGGAAGGUGCGGCUGGAUCACCUCCUUU
rnacentral:rRNA from 1 species